AGUGAACGCUGGCGGUAGGCCUAACACAUGCAAGUCGAACGGCAGCACAGUAGGAGCUUGCUCUUACGGGUGGCGAGUGGCGGACGGGUGAGGUAUACAUCGGAAUCUACUUUUUCGUGGGGGAUAACGUAGGGAAACUUACGCUAAUACCGCAUACGCCCUACGGGUGAAAGCAGGGGAUCUUCGUACCUUGCGCGAUUGAAUGAGGCGAUGUCGGAUUAGCUAGUUGGCGGGGUAAAGGCCCACCAAGGCGACGAUCCGUAGCUGGUCUGAGAGGAUGAUCAGCCACACUGGAACUGAGACACGGUCCAGACUCCUACGGGAGGCAGCAGUGGGGAAUAUUGGACAAUGGGCGCAAGCCUGAUCCAGCCAUACCGCGUGGGUGAAGAAGGCCUUCGGGUUGUAAAGCCCUUUUGUUGGGAAAGAAAAGCAGCAGGUUAAUACCCCGCUGUUCUGACGGUACCCAAAGAAUAAGCACCGGCUAACUUCGUG
rnacentral:rRNA from 1 species